UAGUAUCAGCGUGUAAGCCGCCGCGGUAAUACGUAGGGUGCAAGCGUUAAUCGGAAUUACUGGGCGUAAAGCGUGCGCAGGCGGUUAUAUAAGACUAGAUGUGAAAAUCCCCGGGCUCAACCUGGGAACUGCAUUUGUGACUGUAUAGCUAGAGUACGGUAGAGGGGGAUGGAAUUCCGCGUGUAGCAGUGAAAUGCGUAGAUAUGCGGAGGACACCGAUGGCGAAGGCAAUCCCCUGGACCUGUACUGACGCUACAUGCACGAAAGCGUGGGGAGCAAACCAGGAUUAGAUACCCCUGGUAGUCCACGCCCUAAACGAUGUCAACUGGUU
rnacentral:rRNA from 1 species